UUUUAUAAAUGUUUAACUUAUAAAAUAAUAGGAUGGGGUAAGUAUGGUUCAAAAAUUUGUUUAUUAAACUAUACCAAAAACAAAAUACAAGUGUUCCAGAGAACAAUGGAAAGGAGUCUACUAAACAUACAGAGACAACAUCGGAAGAGAAAUACAAAAAUAAGGAAAACAACAAAAAUAAUAGACUCUUUAGACAAAAAUGGAAUUGGGCGGGUUUCACUGCUCGCAUGGACAAGGAAAAAUGGACACCAAGGGUAACCUGGCAACAACCAACAAAAAGAUUAAGAGCUUAACCUGACAAAAUCGCUAAAUUGAGAGACUAUAUGAAUAAAUGUUUAUAUCCAAUUGAACAUUGCCUGAAGACAUCUUUUUCUAUCUUGAUGGAGUCAUCCUAACUAAAUAAAUACUGUUAUUAUAAUAUUUU